GAUGUUUCACAUUGCUCCUUUUUUCAAUAAUAACAAAAGAAAAUGUUUUUGUAAGAGGUGUCUUUAGGAUGUUAUAAAUUAAAGACACUAAUUUGAUUUCCUAACAUGUAGUUGUAGGACACUUGUUAAUAUCUGUUCGGAAAAAAAGUAAAAAAUUUCUGUUUAAUUUUAACUUAAAAUAUGCUUGUGGGAAAAUGAAGGCAAUUCCAUUCUUGUGUUUGUUGAGUGCAACCAUUAUAGAGAAAAAAACAGUAAACUUGUACUAUUGAAAAGCUUGCCAAAAUCACGAAUCUCGAUAUAUAUCAGCGUGCUACAAAUAUUUUCUGCGAGUGAGUUUGCGUUCACUUGUUAUCUAAUUGAAUAAAUUAAAUCACAAAAAUUUAUAGUCAAAAUCAUAUUUAGAUAUGUGUUCAUAUAACAGUUUAACAC
rnacentral:lncRNA from 1 species